UGUAAAAAAAUGUGGUAAAGGUCUAGGGGUCUGAAUACUUUCCGAAUGCACUGUACAUGCAGAGUGCACUCUGUUCAAGAAAACAAUGAUAUCAAAUUAAAGAAAAUUAAUAGUACACUACUUCUACUUAUAAAACAAUUGUCUACAAAUUAAAACAACAAAGUCAUUUAUCAUAGCGCAUAGAUUUAUGAUCAGAGGCGAAGUGAGGUGAGUGUGAAAAUGCUUUACAUGCACUUUUGGUGUUCAUGAUGAUAGAAACCACAAAGUGUAGGGGUUGAUAUGAAGUCAUGUGAUUGGGGAGAAGUGUGUGUGUGUGUGUGUGUGUGUACUUUGUACGUGUGUGCCUAUAACUGUGCGCGUGUCCUUCUGUUCCUUUUUUUAAAGUCAGAAAACCAUAACCUGACGUUGCUGCGACAAAGACACAAAUGUAGAUUAGAGAUUAGAGAGUGGGAUACUUCAUCACAAUGCUUAAAACAUAAUGAGCUCCUCGUCUGUGAUUUGGAGAUGAUGGCUUCCGUGUGACAAGUUACAGGCUUGUCCCAUCGCUGCAACUGGGGAGGCGGACAUUAUUAUGAGCCGUCCUCCCCUCAGCAGCCUCCACUGAGGGAAACAAUUCCUUUGCUUGAAGGCAUCUUAACCACAGAUGAGGAGUACCCGACCUCGGUCGCGCAAGAUGACCUCAGGAGAACCAUGGGUGUUGAAGACAUCAUCGCCUUGGAGGUGGCCUCGCCAGUCUGGUCCUUGAUGGGUAUCAUACACAAGAAAAUACAUUUUGGGUUCCAAGCAGCCUUUUUAAAUGGGUUACAGAAGGGAAUGUAGAGUUAAGUACAUUCUCUUCCUUGACAGACCUUCAUGGGUAUUGCCUCCACCAACUUGGUAAAGUAAUCGGUCGCCAUCAGGCUAGACUGGUACUCACUUAAGCAGAAGGUGACAAAUUGAAACAUUGUGUUCUCUCUGAUAUGACAUUCAUUGAAAUCAUAACAAAUUUGAGAUAUAAUAGAAUGUGAUCGAUGAACAAACUGUUAUUACACAUGCCCAGCUGUCCACAUCAUUGACAAUCCCUUGCAAAAAAAAGUGUAUGUUGAUUUUGGCAAUCAUGCGCUUCACUCAGAAAUGGCCAACAUGCAUCUCGGUCAGCAUGGGUUCCUUCUCCUCAGUGAAAAUCACCCACCUGUGUGGCUGGCCACCCUUCCCCCGUAGGUACAUGUGAUUGCCUAACAAGUUUGAAGACAAGAGUUGUUGUAGUACUCAAGUCUAAGUCAUUUUGCACAACUGACUUUCUCUCCAUCUUUCACUCUUUUCCCACCUCUCUUUCAUUCUCUCCCUUUAUUUCUCCCUACUCUCUCUUUGUCUGUGUGUCUGUCUAGCAAAGACACCAAGUUAAGGGCAGUUGGAAUGACCAUAAUUGCUUAGACCUAUCCAUUUGAUUGAUCAGAGUUAACUUAUAACUAGACACCUCAAUAUGACAGUCAUAUAACUAAAUGUAUAACUAGCAACUUCUGGAUGAUCAACUACCUAGAUGGAAAAUGGCUGUACAUAGCUAAAUCCUUCCAGUUAUGUAAAAGAAGCGAACUGCUUAAUGUUACCCUGAAUUAGAGGUUGACCGAUUAUGAUUUUUCAACGCAGAUACCGAUACCGAUUAAUGGAGGACCAAAAAAAGCCGAUAUCGAUUA